UGCUUGCACUCAAUUGGAAAGAGGAGUGGCGGACGGGUGAGUAACACGUGGGUAACCUACCCAUCAGAGGGGGAUAACACUUGGAAACAGGUGCUAAUACCGCAUAACAGUUUAUGCCGCAUGGCAUAAGAGUGAAAGGCGCUUUCGGGUGUCGCUGAUGGAUGGACCCGCGGUGCAUUAGCUAGUUGGUGAGGUAACGGCUCACCAAGGCCACGAUGCAUAGCCGACCUGAGAGGGUGAUCGGCCACACUGGGACUGAGACACGGCCCAGACUCCUACGGGAGGCAGCAGUAGGGAAUCUUCGGCAAUGGACGAAAGUCUGACCGAGCAACGCCGCGUGAGUGAAGAAGGUUUUCGGAUCGUAAAACUCUGUUGUUAGAGAAGAACAAGGACGUUAGUAACUGAACGUCCCCUGACGGUAUCUAACCAGAAAGCCACGGCUAACUACGUGCCAGCAGCCGCGGUAAUACGUAGGUGGCAAGCGUUGUCCGGAUUUAUUGGGCGUAAAGCGAGCGCAGGCGGUUUCUUAAGUCUGAUGUGAAAGCCCCCGGCUCAACCGGGGAGGGUCAUUGGAAACUGGGAGACUUGAGUGCAGAAGAGGAGAGUGGAAUUCCAUGUGUAGCGGUGAAAUGCGUAGAUAUAUGGAGGAAC
rnacentral:rRNA from 2 species